GAUGAACGUUGGCGGUGCGCCUAAUACAUGCAAGUCGAACGAUCCUUCGGGAUAGUGGCAAACGGGUGAGUAACACAUGGGUAACCUGCCCUAGAGUGGGGAAUAACUCGUCGAAAGGCGAGCUAAUACCGCAUAUUCUCAUAAGCUGCGAUGCUUAUGAGGAAAGAUUUAUCGCUCUAGGAGGGGCCUGUGCCUGAUUAGCUAGUUGGUAGGGUAAUGGCCUACCAAGGCGACGAUCAGUAGCUGGACUGAGAGGUUGACCAGCCACACUGGGACUGAGACACGGCCCAGACUCCUACGGGAGGCAGCAGUAAGGAAUCUUCCGCAAUGGGCGAAAGCCUGACGGAGCGACACCGCGUGGAGGAUGACGGCCUUCGGGUUGUAAACUCCUUUUCUAUGUGACGAAAAUUUGGACGGUAGCAUAGGAAUAAGUAUCGGCUAACUACG
rnacentral:rRNA from 1 species